rnacentral:lncRNA from 1 species
CUUUUGGCAAUCCUUGGACCUCACAGCAUCCCUCAGCCUUGUUGUAGGUGAGGGAUGUGCUGAGUUACGUGGAGGAGAGCACGACUUUUGGUAGAGCAUUCUUAACAUCACCAAGAUACUACUGGCUCUUCCUGGUUGUGUGGUCUCCUGCAUCUGGGUCAACUAGUCAGUCUGAUGAGCAAACAGACUCCCAAAUGGAGGGAUGUGAUUUUGCUGUAUGAACGGUAGAACUCAGCAGCGUACACACAAAAUAUGACUCUAAUUGUGAAGAUCAGCAGAAGAAAAUUGUGGAAGAAUCUCACAAGUCUGAAUCACGUAAUUUAGCAUUUGGAGCAUGUGGGUGAUGUGUUAUCAGCUGUGACCGUCAGUGCUGAACACAAAAAUGCAGCAAAGUCUGAAAGCAGGAUUCUAUGCACAGACCGGUCCUGUAAUAGCUGGGAACUGUAUCUGCCUUGUGAACUGGCUUUGAGAAAUACCUCUUUCCUCCCUAUUGGACCAUGCUUCUCUCAGAAUCAUUCUCCCAGUCAGUGGUGAAGUCUCUCACAGCAGGUCUUCCUACUCAUAGAAACCAUGGGACUCAGAGGCUGAUGGUAGUUUUGGGACUGAGAGGUGUGUGGUAUCUUCAGAGACUGACUGGACACGAGAUUCAGUUGUAGUAAGGAUGUACACAUGGAGAUGAAAGAUUGGAAACCAUGGCAAAACCACCAAUAUAAAAUGUAUUUAUUCCUCGUGGAACAGUUGCAAGGUAAACGACAUUCCACCAUGAAGUAGUCUGCAGUUUGUCUUGAGAAAAGCCUGAGCAAUGGUUCUGGAAAAAAUUCUAAGCUCCUCU